GACGAACGCUGGCGGCGUGCCUAAUACAUGCAAGUCGAACGAACCGCGACUGAGUGCUUGCACUUGGUCAAGGUGAGUGGCGAACGGGUGAGUAACACGUGGGUAACCUACCUCAUAGUGGGGGAUAACAGUCGGAAACGACUGCUAAUACCGCAUAGGACAUAGGAUCACAUGAUCCAGUGAGGAAAGGUGGCGCAAGCUAUCGCUAAGAGAUGGACCCGCGGUGCAUUAGCUAGUUGGUAGGGUAAAGGCCUACCAAGGCGAUGAUGCAUAGCCGACCUGAGAGGGUGAUCGGCCACAUUGGGACUGAGACACGGCCCAAACUCCUACGGGAGGCAGCAGUAGGGAAUCUUCCGCAAUGGACGCAAGUCUGACGGAGCAACGCCGCGUGAGUGAAGAAGGUCUUCGGAUCGUAAAGCUCUGUUGUUGGAGAAGAACAGCGCAUAGAGUAACUGCUAUGCGUGUGACGGUAUCUAACCAGAAAGCCACGGCUAACUACGUG
rnacentral:rRNA from 1 species